rfam:Hydrogenobaculum sp. Y04AAS1, complete genome.
UCUGGGGUAGCUCAACCGGCAGAGCGGGUGGCUGUUAACCACCAGGUUGGGGGUUCGAGCCCCUCCCCCGGAG